ACAAGUGUACAGAAGCAUUGACUGGGAUGGGCAAAAUGGAAGAUCCGGCUGGCAGCUGGACUCCAUUUCCCAGCAGCCCCUGCCUGUGUUGCUGCAGGCAGUUUCCAUGGAGACUCCAGCAGCAGUGGGACCAUGACAGUGCAGGGUCAGGGUUUCCUUAGAGACUGGCCCCAGCAGCACUAGCAGGGUAUAUGGUUGGUCAGA